rnacentral:rRNA from 1 species
AACGAACGCUGGCGGCAUGCCUAACACAUGCAAGUCGAACGAGACCUUCGGGUCUAGUGGCGCACGGGUGCGUAACGCGUGGGAACCUGCCCUUAGGUUCGGAAUAACUCCCCGAAAGGGGUGCCAAUACCGGAUAAUGUCUUCGGACCAAAGAUUUAUCGCCUUUGGAUGGGCCCGCGUUGGAUUAGCUAGUUGGUAGGGUAAAAGCCUACCAAGGCGACGAUCCAUAGCUGGUCUGAGAGGAUGAUCAGCCACACUGGGACUGAGACACGGCCCAGACUCCUACGGGAGGCAGCAGUGGGGAAUAUUGGACAAUGGGCGAAAGCCUGAUCCAGCAAUGCCGCGUGAGUGAUGAAGGCCUUAGGGUUGUAAAGCUCUUUUAACCGGGAUGAUAAUGACAGUACCGGGAGAAUAAGCUCCGGCUAACUCCGUG